CCGAGUUUACAACUCCCAAACCCUAUGUGAACUUACCAUUCUGUUGCUUCGGCGGGAUCGUCCCGGGUGCGGCUGCAAGGCCAGCCCCGGAACCAGGCGCCCGCCGGAGGACCACAAACUCUUAUGUUUUUUAGCGAUUUAUCUGAGUGGCUAUAAGCAAAAAAAUGAAUCA
rnacentral:misc_RNA from 1 species